UACGUAGGGUGCGAGCGUUAAUCGGAAUUACUGGGCGUAAAGCGUGCGCAGGCGGUCCGCAAAGUCUGAUGUGAAAGCCCCGGGCUCAACCUGGGAACUGCAUUGGAAACUAACGGGCUCGAGUGUGGCAGAGGGGGGUGGAAUUCCCGGUGUAGAGGUGAAAUUCGUAGAUAUCGGGAGGAACACCAGUGGCGAAGGCGGCGACCUGGCCAAUCACUGACACUGAGACGCGAAAGCGUGGGGAGCAAACAGG
rnacentral:rRNA from 1 species